UCCUGGCUCAGAUUGAACGCUGGCGGCAGGCCUAACACAUGCAAGUCGAGCGGCAGCGACAUAAACAAUCCUUCGGGUGCGCUUAUGGGCGGCGAGCGGCGGACGGGUGAGUAAUGCCUGGGAAUAUGCCCUGAUGUGGGGGAUAACCAUUGGAAACGAUGGCUAAUACCGCAUAAUCUCUUCGGAGCAAAGAGGGGGACCUUCGGGCCUCUCGCGUCAGGAUUAGCCCAGGUGAGAUUAGCUAGUUGGUGGGGUAAGAGCUCACCAAGGCGACGAUCUCUAGCUGGUCUGAGAGGAUGAUCAGCCACACUGGAACUGAGACACGGUCCAGACUCCUACGGGAGGCAGCAGUGGGGAAUAUUGCACAAUGGGGGAAACCCUGAUGCAGCCAUGCCGCGUGUGUGAAGAAGGCCUUCGGGUUGUAAAGCACUUUCAGUUGUGAGGAAGGCAUAUACGUUAAUAGCGUAUGUGUUUGACGUUAGCAACAGAAGAAGCACCGGCUAACUCCGUGCCAGCAGCCGCGGUAAUACGGAGGGUGCGAGCGUUAAUCGGAAUUACUGGGCGUAAAGCGCAUGCAGGCGGCUUGUUAAGCCAGA
rnacentral:rRNA from 1 species